rnacentral:rRNA from 1 species
UACGAAGGGGGCUAGCGUUGUUCGGAAUGACUGGGCGUAAAGCGCACGUAGGCGGACAUUUAAGUCAGGGGUGAAAUCCCGGGGCUCAACCUCGGAACUGCCUUUGAUACUGGGUGUCUGGAGUGUGGAAGAGGUGAGUGGAAUUCCGAGUGUAGAGGUGAAAUUCGUAGAUAUUCGGAGGAACACCAGUGGCGAAGGCGGCUCACUGGUCCACAACUGACGCUGAGGAGCGAAAGCGUGGGGAGCGAACAGG